rnacentral:lncRNA from 10 species
GAGCUGCGGAAUCGCGCGACCCCGGAACCUCGGCACUCUGGAGCCCCGGCGCCCUUCGACCCCGGAAAGCAUUUCGGCGGAAAUUGGGCGCCUGGGGCUUUGGGAGAGGGCAUUGCUGGCCCCAAAGUGUCACUGCCCCAGUUCUGGUUUCUGUUUCGUAAACAGCUUUGUCGUGCGGGAGUCCCUUUGCUAAGUACGACCUGAAAAUCUGAUGCAAACUCCGACACUUGUGGGCUGAGCCCAGCAGUGUCCAGCAGUUUGCAAGGAAUAGCCGCGGCUCUGGGCAGUUUUGGGGAUUUUUUGAGCUCCCAUUUAUUGAGCACCCAUCCCGCGCUGUUCCUGCUGCUUGAAACGAAAAAAUCCCUUAUUCAAUCCCCACGGUAUUCAUGGGAUCUCGCGAUCUCUGUUUUACAGAUGAGGCCACAGGCUCGGAGAGGGGAAGUUUCUGUUCAUUCUAACGGAUGUGUUGGGUGCCCAAAUGUGCUGGGCCCUGGCCAUAAGUUUGCCAUCCUGCAGACGGCCGAGGGACACAGGGCGACACGCCAGCGUCAUGAUAAACGCUAUGACAGCCUGACCUGGUUGGGGGUCCAACCGGAGGAGGAAGGCUUCGGCGACUGCGGCCUAAGAUGAGCCCAGAGGGUGUCCAGACCAAGGGGUGGGGAGGGACGGGCCUAGGGUAGCGAUCUGCUUCCUAUGGCUUAAAUGCACCCCAGGAGGAAACUGAUCUCUGGCCGCAGGGGAGAUAAUGGAUUGGGAAGCUCCUGAGGGAGAAAGGAGGCUGGUGCAGUUGUGGUCCAGGUAAGGGAGGUUGCCCCGAAAGUAGGCAGAUUCAGUACCAUUUAGAGGUAGGAUUUGCACCACCUGUGAUUGAGGAAUUUGCAGGCAGGAGGAAGAAAGUGGAAAAAUCAAGGGUAACUUCAUGUUUGUGGGGUGUCUGUCUGGGGCAGAAAAGGACGAGGAAAUUUGUGCCAAGAGUCAUUCAUUAAGUGGACAAGCGAUGAUUGAGUCCUAGCUGCGCUAGGCACUGCUGAAG